GAUGAACGCUAGCUACAGGCUUAACACAUGCAAGUCGAGGGGAAACGAUAUUGGAAGCUUGCUUCCGAUAGGCGUCGACCGGCGCACGGGUGAGUAACGCGUAUCCAACCUGCCCACCACUUGGGGAUAACCUUGCGAAAGUAAGACUAAUACCCGAUGAUAUCCCUAGAAGACAUCUGAAAGGGAUUAAAGAUUUAUCGGUGAUGGAUGGGGAUGCGUCUGAUUAGCUUGUUGGCGGGGUAACGGCCCACCAAGGCAACGAUCAGUAGGGGUUCUGAGAGGAAGGUCCCCCACAUUGGAACUGAGACACGGUCCAAACUCCUACGGGAGGCAGCAGUGAGGAAUAUUGGUCAAUGGACGAGAGUCUGAACCAGCCAAGUAGCGUGCAGGAUGACGGCCCUAUGGGUUGUAAACUGCUUUUAUAAGGGAAUAAAGUGGGUCACGUGUGACUUUUUGCAUGUACCUUAUGAAUAAGGACCGGCUAAUUCCGUG
rnacentral:rRNA from 1 species